AGAGUUUGAUCCUGGCUCAGGAUGAACGCUGGCGGCGUGCCUAACACAUGCAAGUCGAGCGCGUCUUUAGGUGCUUGCACCGAAAAGAUGAGCGGCGGACGGGUGAGUAACGCGUGGGUAACCUGCCCUAUACACAUGGAUAACAUACUGAAAAGUUUACUAAUACAUGAUAAUAUAUAUUUUUGGCAUCGAAGAUAUAUCAAAGUGUUAGCGGUAUAGGAUGGACCCGCGUCUGAUUAGCUAGUUGGUGAGAUAACUGCCCACCAAGGCGACGAUCAGUAGCCGACCUGAGAGGGUGAUCGGCCACAUUGGAACUGAGACACGGUCCAAACUCCUACGGGAGGCAGCAGUGGGGAAUAUUGCACAAUGGGCGAAAGCCUGAUGCAGCAACGCCGCGUGAACGAUGAAGGUCUUCGGAUCGUAAAGUUCUGUUGCAGGGGAAGAUAAUGACGGUACCCUGUGAGGAAGCCCCGGCUAACUACGUGCCAGCAGCCGCGGUAAUACGUAGGGGGCUAGCGUUAUCCGGAUUUACUGGGCGUAAAGGGUGCGUAGGUGGUCCAUCAAGUCGGUGGUUAAAGGCUACGGCUCAACCGUAGUAAGCCUCCGAAACUGUUGGACUUGAGUGCAGGAGAGGAAAGUGGAAUUCCCAGUGUAGCGGUGAAAUGCGUAGAUAUUGGGAGGAACACCAGUAGCGAAGGCGGCUUUCUGGACUGCAACUGACACUGAGGCACGAAAGCGUGGGUAGCAAACAGGAUUAGAUACCCUGGUAGUCCACGCUGUAAACGAUGAGUACUAGGUGUCGGGGGUUACCCCCCUCGGUGCCGCAGCUAACGCAUUAAGUACUCCGCCUGGGGAGUACGCACGCAAGUGUGAAACUCAAAGGAAUUGACGG
rnacentral:rRNA from 1 species